UUCCGCAUUUGGAUAUUUCAAUCUCCUUUGGGCUUUUGGACUAUACCAGUAACCACUUUACCGACCCGACUACUCCUUCUUCCCUCUUUUGCGAGCUGAAUUAGGGUUUUGAAAUCUCAGGCUGAAUCUCAAUUCCAGCUAUCAGGGUUUUGUUCCAGAUUCACUCCCAAUUCGAUUUCCUUAAUACCCAUCAGGGUUGAAGAAUUUCACGAACACACUGUUCCUCUGUCUCGGAUUUUGAUUGGGUUUUGCAAAAUUGAAGGAAAAUCUUCCAAUCAAGGUAAAGGAUCAUGGUGGGAUUUAAAAAUAGGUAUAUGACAUUGGAGGUUAUCUUGGAUCCGAAUAAAGAACUUGCAAAGAAAGAUCCUGUUAUCAUUACCACAUAUAAUGUUACAAAAGCCAUCAAAGAUAGCAUUCUUGUGAACUUUGGGGAGUGUGGUCUGGCUUCUUCACUUGGAUCGUUCCAAGUGAAGUAUGUCAAUGAGAUUACAAGGCUUUGUAUCAUAAGAGCUUCGAGGGAGGACCAUCAAAAAGUAUGGUCUGCUAUUACCAUGGUCAGGAGUAUUGCUGAUUGCCCGGUGAUUUUUAAUUUGUUGGACUUAAGUGGAAGUAUCAGAGCUUGUAAAACAGCUGCCUUGAAGUGUGAUGAAUUAAAAUUUGAGCAGCACAAACUUGUGGUUGGAUCUAUUCUUUCAGCUCAAGAUACUCAAAAGAUGCAGUUCUAUCUUGAUAAGAUCAAAGGCUUGGAGCACUAAAGUUUUACUGCAUAUGUGGUGACAUACCGAAUUCAGAUGGCAAGUACUCUGGCCUGUAUCUUGAUGCCCCUUCUGUUGUGUGGGCUAUUUUGGCAGCUGGUAUAAGUACACUAGUUGUUUGAUGAAGCAUAAUCUAUUCACUUGUUACUGUAGGAUAACAAUGUGCUUCUAGUGGAUCACAACCAGAGGUCACUAAUGGCUGUUGGUAUUGUGAGUUUAUAAAAAUGUCUGUUUAUUCAUAGAGGCUUUCAAUUUUGGGUCUGCAAAGGGAGUGGAAUACUUAAAAAUGAUGUCCUGUAUCAGAAAUUAGUUAGCCUCACUGGCUCCUGUUCGUGGCACCAUUGGUGGCUUGAUGUCUUGUGUUCAGCCAAAUCUUGGCCUUGUAUAAUCCUGGAAGGUUGGAAAAGCUUUAAAGAAAGGAAGCUUACAGGAAUAUGCGUCCAAAUAGUUAUGAGAUGUCUUGAAGACAGAAUAAGGAGGUGGAUUGGAUACAGGAGAUUAGUUAUUUCGGAAUAUGUUCUUUCUGGUUUCUGUUCUUUACUAAGUGGGGGGGCAGUAGGUGUAUCCCAUAUAAACUCAGUGGUUGACUAGCAAGUACCAAAAUUCUUUUUGUUUAGCAACUCAGUGAUUAACUAACACGUGCCAAAAUUCUUUUUGUUUA